rnacentral:pre_miRNA from 1 species
CUCUGUCCUCCAGCUGUCUUUUGAAUUCCAAAUUGUCAACUCAAGGAUAGUUGUAGGCAAGGGA